rnacentral:rRNA from 1 species
AGUGAACGCUGGCGGUAGGCCUAACACAUGCAAGUCGAACGGCAGCACAGUAAGAGCUUGCUCUUACGGGUGGCGAGUGGCGGACGGGUGAGGAAUACAUCGUAAUCUACUUUUUCGUGGGGGAUAACGUAGGGAAACUUACGCUAAUACCGCAUACGACCUACGGGUGAAAGCAGGGGAUCUUCGGACCUUGCGCGAUUGAAUGAGCCGAUGUCGGAUUAGCUAGUUGGCGGGGUAAAGGCCCACCAAGGCGACGAUCCGUAGCUGGUCUGAGAGGAUGAUCAGCCACACUGGAACUGAGACACGGUCCAGACUCCUACGGGAGGCAGCAGUGGGGAAUAUUGGACAAUGGGCGAAAGCCUGAUCCAGCCAUACCGCGUGGGUGAAGAAGGCCUUCGGGUUGUAAAGACCUUUUGUUGGGAAAGAAAAGCAGCAGGUUAAUACCCCGCUGCUCUGACGGUACCCAAAGAAUAAGCACCGGCUAACUUCGUG